rnacentral:rRNA from 1 species
CCUACGGGUGACUGCAGUAGGGAAUAUUGCUCAAUGGGGGAAACCCUGAAGCAGCAACGCCGCGUGGAGGAUGAAGGUUUUAGGAUUGUAAACUCCUUUUGUUAGAGAAGAUUAUGACGGUAUCUAACGAAUAAGCACCGGCUAACUCCGUGCCAGCAGCCGCGGUAAUACGGAGGGUGCAAGCGUUACUCGGAAUCACUGGGCGUAAAGAGUGCGUAGGCGGGGUAAUAAGUCAGAUGUGAAAUCCUGUAGCUUAACUACAGAACUGCAUUUGAAACUGUUACUCUGGAGUGUGGGAGAGGUAGGUGGAAUUCUUGGUGUAGGGGUAAAAUGCGUAGAGAUAAAGAGGAAUACUCAUGGCGAAGGCGACCUGCUGGAACAUUACUGACGCUGAUGCACGAAAGCGUGGGGAGCAAACAGGAUUAGAUACCCGAGUAGUC